rnacentral:rRNA from 1 species
CGGGUGGUAAUGCCGGAUGCUCCAGUUGAUCGCAUGGUGUUCUGGGAAAGCCUUUGCGGCAUGGGAUGGGGUCGCGUCCUAUCAGCUUGAUGGCGGGGUAACGGCCCACCAUGGCUUCGACGGGUAGCCGGCCUGAGAGGGCGACCGGCCACAUUGGGACUGAGAUACGGCCCAGACUCCUACGGGAGGCAGCAGUGGGGAAUAUUGCACAAUGGGCGCAAGCCUGAUGCAGCGACGCCGCGUGAGGGAUGGAGGCCUUCGGGUUGUAAACCUCUUUUGUUAGGGAGCAAGGCAUUUUGUGUUGAGUGUACCUUUCGAAUAAGCACCGGCUAACUACGUGCCAGCAGCCGCGGUAAUACGUAGGGUGCAAGCGUUAUCCGGAAUUAUUGGGCGUAAAGGGCUCGUAGGCGGUUCGUCGCGUCCGGUGUGAAAGUCCAUCGCUUAACGGUGGAUUCGCGCCGGGUACGGGCGGGCUUGAGUGCGGUAGGGGAGACUGGAAUUCCCGGUGUAACGGUGGAAUGUGUAGAUAU